rnacentral:rRNA from 1 species
AGAGUUUGAUCCUGGCUCAGAUUGAACGCUGGCGGCAGGCUUAACACAUGCAAGUCGAGCGGGGAAAGGUAGCUUGCUACCUGACCUAGCGGCGGACGGGUGAGUAAUGCUUAGGAAUCUGCCUAUUAGUGGGGGACAACAUUCCGAAAGGAAUGCUAAUACCGCAUACGCCCUACGGGGGAAAGCAGGGGAUCUUCGGACCUUGCGCUAAUAGAUGAGCCUAAGUCAGAUUAGCUAGUUGGUGGGGUAAAGGCCUACCAAGGCGACGAUCUGUAGCGGGUCUGAGAGGAUGAUCCGCCACACUGGGACUGAGACACGGCCCAGACUCCUACGGGAGGCAGCAGUGGGGAAUAUUGGACAAUGGGCGAAAGCCUGAUCCAGCCAUGCCGCGUGUGUGAAGAAGGCCUUUUGGUUGUAAAGCACUUUAAGCGAGGAGGAGGCUACUUAGAUUAAUACUCUAGGAUAGUGGACGUUACUCGCAGAAUAAGCACCGGCUAACUCUGUGCCAGCAGCCGCGGUAAUACAGAGGGUGCGAGCGUUAAUCGGAUUUACUGGGCGUAAAGCGUGCGUAGGCGGCUUUUUAAGUCGGAUGUGAAAUCCCUGAGCUUAACUUAGGAAUUGCAUUCGAUACUGGGAAGCUAGAGUAUGGGAGAGGAUGGUAGAAUUCCAGGUGUAGCGGUGAAAUGCGUAGAGAUCUGGAGGAAUACCGAUGGCGAAGGCAGCCAUCUGGCCUAAUACUGACGCUGAGGU